rnacentral:sRNA from 1 species
UAUUCGGAUUGCCACCUCUUCCAAAUGUC